rnacentral:rRNA from 1 species
GGUGGUGCAUGGCCGUUCUUAGUUGGUGGAGUGAUUUGUCUGGUUAAUUCCGAUAACGAACGAGACCUUAACCUGCUAACUAGAUUCUUUUAUUUUAUAAUAGAUAUCUUCUUAGAGGGACUAUGUAAUCUAAAUACAUGGAAGUUUGAGGCAAUAACAGGUCAGUGAUGCCCUUAUAUGUCCUGGGCUGCACGCGUGCUACACUGAUGCAUACAACAAGUGCCUAACCAGACAUGGUAUGGCAAUCUCGAAUAUGCAUCGUGAUAGGGAUAGAUCUUUGCAAUU